rnacentral:tRNA from 1 species
UGUAGCUCAGGAGUAGAGUGCUUGCCUACCGUGCAUGAAGUUCUGGGUUCUAUCCCCAGCA